CGAGGCACUACGGUGCUGAAGUGACAAAUGCCCUGCUUCCAGGAAAAGCCUCUAAGCAUCAGGUAACAUCAAAUCGUACCCCAAACCGACACAGGUGGUCAGGUAGAGAAUACCAAGGCGCUUGAGAGAACUCGGGUGAAGGAACUAGGCAAAAUGGUGCCGUAACUUCGGGAGAAGGCACGCUGAUGGUAGGUGAAGCGACUUGCUCGUGGAGCUGAAAUCAGUCGAAGAUACCAGCUGGCUGCAACUGUUUAUUAAAAACACAGCACUGUGCAAACACGAAAGUGGACGUAUACGGUGUGACGCCUGCCCGGUGCCGGAA
rnacentral:rRNA from 1 species